CAUAGCGACUAUCGUGGCAUAUCAAUAAGCGGAGGAAAAGAAACUAACAAGGAUUCCCCUAGUAACGGCGAGUGAAGCGGGAAGAGCUCAAAUUUGAAAUCUUAAAGGGUUUCCCUUUACGAAUUGUAGUUUAAAGAAGUGUUUUCUGUUGGAGUUUUGGUAAAAGUUCUUUGGAAUAGGACAUCAUAGAGGGUGAGAAUCCCGUAUUUGACCAUUAUUUCCAGCUGUGUGAUACACUUUCAAAGAGUCGGAUUGUUUGGGAAUGCAGUCCAAAAUGGGUGGUAAAUUUCAUCUAAAGCUAAAUAUUGGCGAGAGACCGAUAGCGAACAAGUACCGUGAGGGAAAGAUGAAAAGAACUUUGAAAAGAGAGUUAAACAGUACGUGAAAUUGUCAAAAGGGAAGCGUUUGACACCAGUGUUGUUUUCUCGAAAAUCAAUUAAAAAUGGCCGGAUUUUGUGUUGUAUUGACUUUAUCAGCUUUCUGCACUUUUUUCUUGUCUUUUUUAAUGCACUUUUCGUUUAACAAGUCAACAUCAAUUUCUUUUGUUGUAAAAGAGUCAUUGGAAGGUGGCUUUCAUUUCGGUGAAAGUGUUUAUAGCCUUUGACUUCUGCAAUCGGAGAGAUUGAGGUCUGCAGCGUAGAUCCUUCGGGGUUAGAUACAUUUGUGCUAAGUUAUAGUUUUUCAUAGACAACAUGUUGACUAUGAUUAAUCAUGUAGCUUACUCGCUUAUGCUAUUUUACCUACGCUUAGGAUGUUGAUAUGCAUGACUGAUAU
rnacentral:rRNA from 1 species